CAGUAGCCGCGGUAAUACGUAGGUGGCAAGCGUUGUCCGGAAUUAUUGGGCGUAAAGGGCUCGCAGGCGGUUUCUUAAGUCUGAUGUGAAAGCCCCCGGCUCAACCGGGGAGGGUCAUUGGAAACUGGGAAACUUGAGUGCAGAAGAGGAGAGUGGAAUUCCACGUGUAGCGGUGAAAUGCGUAGAGAUGUGGAGGAACACCAGUGGCGAAGGCGACUCUCUGGUCUGUAACUGACGCUGAGGAGCGAAAGCAUGGGGAGCGAACAGGAUUAGAUACCCCAGUAGUCCCUGUCUCUUAUAC
rnacentral:rRNA from 1 species